rnacentral:lncRNA from 1 species
GAAAAGCCUUCAGUUCAGCUGUGUAUGUUGUUUUUAAUGCACCAGUGGAAGAGCAGGCGUACCAGGGUCUAUGAGAGAUUUCUGCUUGGUCUUUGAAGGGCAGAAGAAUAUUAAGUAAGGUAUACCUGCAAAGAUGUUGCUAGGACUAUCAAGCAAUGGCAGGCAAUAGGCUGGGAUGCAUCUCCGUUGCUUUAUGUGAGGAUCAGAGCUACCGUGUUCCCAGAUGGCUGAAUUUAUUUGCGAAAAAUCUUAUAUUCCUUCCAUGUAUCGUCUGUACUAUAUUGUUCAUAAGGAGGGCAGAAACUUUCAUAUUUAUAAGUCAAGUUCUUUUGCUCAAACUCAGUAUGAAACUGAAAAUGAAACUCUAUCUUUUUUCAGCUUUUUUUUUUUUUUUUUUUUUUUUUCCCAAGUAAAGUAAUGGAAGUGUCAGAAAUUUUCUAGGUGGGAUGUAUUCAGAGAGCCUUGGAAAUGAAUUCUGCAAAGCUGUUUCUGUAAGGAGGAGGAAUGAAACUUUCAUUGCCUCAUGUCAUUGACCUUUCAAGCGGUUGAGAGUUUUAAAAGCUUUUUCUCCUGCUUUCAAUUCUAAAGGUUUAAGAAAACAAAUCAAAUGCAAAUAUAUGAUGUGAGGAGGAGAUUAUAGGUGUGCAGGAGAUCACAUUAUGUCUGAGAUACUGAGAUAGCAUUCACUCAUUAUAAGAACUUAAACAGUCUGAGUCUUAGCGUAGGAUGUAUUCUAGUUUGUUGAAAGAUCCUACUUUUGCUAAGAGAGGCUCCUGGCUAAAUUUCUUCAGAUUGACUGUCCACACAGUGGUAUUUCUAUUCUGCACUUACUACAAAGAUACAACAUGUGACCAUUUUCUUUGUUUUCAUCCUUCUCAUUGAAUUCCUGACAAAUGGCUUAAAAACUACCAAGUAUAAUCCCUUUCCCAUGCAGCAUUUAUUUUUCCAUUCAGCAUUUAAUUGAGACCUGGAGACACUUCACCUGGAGUGAAGUACCUGCAAGUGGUUGGUAUGAACAUUCCCAUCUUCCCAGUGAGCAUUUUGGACCUUUAUACGUCAGCAUUUACAAUCCCUGUAUUGAACAUCUCUGUUUUUGUUUGCUGUUGGGAAACUAAAAUGCUGUUCAGUGCUCUGUGUCCCAGAAGAGGUACCCAUUCUCCUCCAGAAUCCUCAUAAAAGAUGCCAAGAGACAGUCUUGCACCUGGCUAUUACCCUUGGGAUAGGACACUGGUAACAUCAACUUCCUCCUAUGUUUGGAGACCUGAAAAAGGUUAUCUCAGUGGCGGCUAUUGUUCAGAUCAUGGGAAUAAUGUUCAGAUUCUAGGGAAAUGGGGCUUACUAGAAAAGCAUAUUAGCCUUUAAUGUGAGGGAGAAACUGAUGUUUAAGAAACAAUGACAGAAUAUGAAGCUAGCGCAAAUGAGAGAAAGGUCUUAUAUCAGCCACAGCAAUCCAUGUGCUAGAGCAGGAACAUGCUCUGUGAGUCCACUACAUGGGCUGACUUCUGUAACCUCUAGCUGUCAUAUAUCCAGCAGCAGUAAAGCAAGGCAGCUAUAAUGAGGCUGAGGCAUUCAACAAACAAAAUUUUAUAUCACAAAGCUUGGGAGCCAAAGGCCUGGCACAGUGCAUAUUUUACUUUGCUGUUUUCUCACCUGGUUCUCUGGAAGAGCAAGGCAGAAUAGUAAACAAAGACUAUGGAGGGAAUAUAUAAAGAAGAACAGAUAAGAAGCCAGGGGAUGUGAUUAUUCAAAAAAAAAAAAAAAAAAAAAGUAUGAAUAAAGCCUGCAAGAUAUAAAAAUACUUGGGGUGA